ACGAACGCUGGCGGCGUGCUUAACACAUGCAAGUCGAACGGAAAGGCCCUGCUUUUGUGGGGUGCUCGAGUGGCGAACGGGUGAGUAACACGUGAGUAACCUGCCCUUGACUUUGGGAUAACUUCAGGAAACUGGGGCUAAUACCGGAUAGGAGCUCCUGCUGCAUGGUGGGGGUUGGAAAGUUUCGGCGGUUGGGGAUGGACUCGCGGCUUACCAGCUUGUUGGUGGGGUAGUGGCUUACCAAGGCUUUGACGGGUAGCCGGCCUGAGAGGGUGACCGGCCACAUUGGGACUGAGAUACGGCCCAGACUCCUACGGGAGGCAGCAGUGGGGAAUAUUGCACAAUGGGCGGAAGCCUGAUGCAGCAACGCCGCGUGCGGGAUGACGGCCUUCGGGUUGUAAACCGCUUUCGCCUGUGACGAAGCGUGAGUGACGGUAAUGGGUAAAGAAGCACCGGCUAACUACGUG
rnacentral:rRNA from 1 species